AGAGUGGAGGCUCCUUUAAUCUUGACAGCCCGAAUGCUACAGGGGUCACAGCACAUCUGCUCCGGAGGAAAGACAAAGGGCAAGGUAGAGGACCUUUGGAGAUGUGAAUGAAAACAGCUGUCUGAACAAGUGGUACCCUAACUAGCGCGGCUGUGAGUCUGAAGCUUGAAAUGGGGAAGUUGGUCAGCAUGGGUGAGCUAUGCAGCCCAGGUGAAGGGAUCCUCAAGCAGCAGCCUCUGCCUUUUUGUCUUCUCCUUUUCACGGAGAUGACAAGAAUCACCCCAGGACUUAUCUUCUGAGGUGCUCAGCUGUGGUCCCAGUGCUGCUUUGGUCACUGCUAUGGCGGGUGGAAGCAGGAUGGGUGAAGUCAUUCUGGAGAACAAGGGCGAAGAAUGCAUGAAGGAAAUGAACAUGAUGGAUCAUAUACAUCAUACUGUCAUCCCCCAAGAGUGAGACAAACAGUAUCUUGAGGAGGCUCACACUGUCUUCCUGAUAAAAGCCAACAAGAAUGUGCAUUAAAAUGGAUCCUGUAUUUUAUGAUAAACUAUUCUCGCCCUGUGUUAUAUUGUGUUUUAUACAUAUAUACACCCCACCUUUAUGGAAU
rnacentral:lncRNA from 1 species